CUUAGCAGAGAUGCUUGGUGCCUCCGGGAACUCUGAGACAGGUGCUGCAUGGCUGUCGUCAGCUCGUGUUGUGAAAUGUUGGGUUAAGUCCCGCAACGAGCGCAACCCUUAUCCUUUGUUGCCAGCGGUUCGGCCGGGAACUCAAAGGAGACUGCCGGUGAUAAACCGGAGGAAGGUGGGGAUGACGUCAAGUCAUCAUGGCCCUUACGGCCAGGGCUACACACGUGCUACAAUGGCGCAUACAAAGAGAAGCGACCUCGCGAGAGCAAGCGGACCUCAUAAAGUGCGUCGUAGUCCGGAUUGGAGUCUGCAACUCGACUCCAUGAAGUCGGAAUCGCUAGUAAUCGUAGAUCAGAAUGCUACGGUGAAUACGUUCCCGGGCCUUGUACACACCGCCCGUCACACCAUGGGAGUGGGUUGCAAAAGAAGUAGGUAGCUUAACCUUCGGGAGGGCGCUUACCACUUUGUGAUUCAUGACUGGGGUGAAGUCGUAACAAGGUAAGCGUAGCGAG
rnacentral:rRNA from 1 species